GACGUAGGGCGCGAGCGUUGUCCGGAUUUAUUGGGCGUAAAGGGCGCGUAGGCGGCCACGCACGUCCGUUGUGAAAUCGCCCGGCUCAACUGGGCGGGGUCAGCGGAUACGGUGUGGCUCGAGCAAGCUAGGGGGCAAUGGAAUUCCCGGUGUAGUGGUGGAAUGCGUAGAUAUCGGGAGGAACACCAGUGGCGAAGGCGGUUGCCUGGAGCUUUGCUGACGCUGAUGCGCGAAAGCGUGGGGAGCGAUCCGG
rnacentral:rRNA from 1 species